rnacentral:rRNA from 1 species
UACGGAGGAUGCAAGCGUUAUCCGGAAUUAUUGGGCGUAAAGCGUCCGCAGGUGGCAAUGUAAGUCUGCUGUUAAAGAGUCUAGCUCAACUAGAUAAAAGCAGUGGAAACUACAUAGCUAGAGUACGUUCGGGGCAGAGGGAAUUCCUGGUGUAGCGGUGAAAUACGUAGAGAUCAGGAAGAACACCGGUGGCGAAGGCACUCUGCUAGGCCGUAACUGACACUGAGGGACGAAAGCUAGGGGAGCGAAUGGG